rnacentral:rRNA from 1 species
UACGGGGGGGGGCAAGCGUUGUUCGGAGUUACUGGGCGUAAAGGGCGCGUAGGCGGUUAUAUAAGAUUGGUGUGAAAUCCCUGGGCUUAACCUAGGAACUGCAUCGAUAACUGUAUGACUGGAGUAUUGUAGAGGGUAGUGGAAUUUCCGGUGUAGCGGUGAAAUGCGUAGAGAUCGGAAGGAACACCAGUGGCGAAGGCGGCUACCUGGACAAAUACUGACGCUGAGGCGCGAGAGCGUGGGGGAGCAAACAGG